UUUUUUUUUGAGACAAAAAAGAACUGGUCACGACGGCCUCGCCGCUGCUGCCCUCCUCCCUUCCCUUCGCGCGCUUCCGCGCCGCUCAACCCGUCCACCGUCGCGCCACUCACGGCCUCACGGGGCAAGCGCGAGGUGAGCCCACCUACCGCGGCAUGCGGUGGAGCGCGCGGCACACCAAGCCCCGCCCCCGGUGACGACGCGCAGCCGUCCAGUGCGUCUGCGCCCUUGAUGUGUUCGAGCAAAUGCCACGCCGGAGAACCUGCGUCGGGUCUAUGCAGGAUCCACGCGCGGGUGGCCUUGGCGCAGUUACUAACGACGGCAGUCUCCACCGGAGCAUUUGCCCGAAUGAUUAACCGGCUCAUCUUUGCCAUUGGGCUACCCUGGCGACCCAUGCUCAUUUCAGCUCCGAGCUGGCUGGUCGAACCACAGCUGCUUCCUUUCGAUGAAUCAUCACUCUCCUUUCCUCUGAAUCCAUUGGUUUGGUAUCUCCCCUGUGCCGGGCCUGCUUUUGCUCCUGUUGUUGCUGUGCUGCCUUAAGCGUGCGGGGAGAUGACAGGGUUUCUUGGCACGGUAGUUGAUGCAGCAACAGGAUGGCUGGUGCAAAGCAUCAUUGGGAGCUUCUUCACUAGGCAGAUGGAAGCCUGGACUCAUGAAAUCGGGCUCACUGAAGAUUUUGAGAAGCUCAAAUUUGAGAUGAGGAACGUGGAGAUGGUGCUUGCUGCUGCUGAGGGAAGGAUUAUUGGCAACAAUAAGCCUCUGUCCCAGUCACUGGAUGAUCUCAAAGGGCUGCUUUAUGACUCAGAGGACGUGAUGGACGAGCUCGAUUACUACCGACUACAACAACAGAUCGAAGGGAGAGGUUGUACCGCUGCCAGUGAUGAUAAUUCUGAUGGGAGCUAUGUGUCCUCAUCUGCCCCAUCUUCUGCUUCUGAAUUAGUAUACAGUGCCACAAGCCAAAUAACUAGAUGGGCCUCGUGCGGCAGAAAAAGGAGACGUGAAGAGGAGGGGCCAGCUCAUAGUAUCAUGCUGACUUAUGAGAUUAAACAUGACAUUUCUCAGAGAAUCAACGGUAUAGUGAAACAUUUAUGCACUAUUGGCAAUUCUGUGCAGAGAGUUCUUCAGCUUGAGAUCUCACGCCCCACUGCAACAUCAAAUGAGAGUCAGAAUAUUUGCAGGAAUGCUCGAUUAACAACUUCUGUUCCAAUUGAAUGUAAGGUGUAUGGGAGGGAUGCAGAGAGAGACAAGAUAAUAGAGCUGUUGAUAAAUGGGGGAUCUAGUGAACUGAAUGUUUUGCCAGUGGUUGGCAUUGGUGGUGUUGGGAAGACGACUCUUGCUAGAUAUGUAUACCGUGAUGAAAGAAUUACAAAUCAUUUUGAUUUGCAAAUGUGGGUUUGUGUAUCCACAAACUUCAAUGAAGUGAGGCUAACACUUGAGAUCCUAGAGCAUGUAUGUAAAGAUAGACAAGAGUAUGAAAAAAUAAGCAAUUUCAAUGUACUGCAGGAGAUCCUUUUGAAGAAUAUUAGAAACAAGAGAUUUCUGCUUGUAUUGGACGAUGUGUGGGAAGACAAGAACAUAAGUGGAUGGAUUAAACUCUUGGCUCCAUUGAAAAAUAAUCAAGUAAAUGGUUGCAUGGUACUAGCAACAACUAGAACAAAAUCAGUUGCAAAAAUGAUUGGAACAGUGGAUGAAGUUAGAUUGAGUGGUCUGGAUGAAAAGGAGUUUUGGCUGUUCUUCAAGGCAUGUGCAUUUGGUAAUGAGAACUACGAGGGUCAUCCUAGUUUGCAAUCUAUUGGGAAACAGAUUGCUAAAGCACUAAAGGGCUGCCCACUAGCUGCACGAAGCGUUGGUGCACUUCUGAAUACAAAUGUUAGCGAUAAGCAUUGGAGGAUAGUUCGGGACAAAUGGAAAUCCUUUCAAGAAGAUUCUGAUGAUAUUUUACCCAUCUUGAAGCUCAGUUAUGAUUAUCUGCCAGUCCACCUUCAACGUUGUUUCUCGUACUGCUCUUUGUUUCCAGAGGACUACCCAUUUGAUGGGGAGCAAUUGGUCCAUGCUUGGAUAUCACAGGAUUUUGUGCAGUGCGAAGAUCGUACCGUAAGACUAGAGGAAACAGGGCAGGAAUAUUUGGAUAGAUUAGUGGAUUUGGGCUUCUUCCAAAUGGUUAACUCACACUAUGUUAUGCAUGAUUUAAUGCAUGAAUUGGCAGGGAAAGUUUCAUUAAAUGAGUGUGCUACUAUACAUGGAUUGAAACCUGAGGCAAUUCGACCAAGUGUUCGCCAUUUGUCAAUCAUAACUACUGCUUUUGAUAAAGAUAACGGUGGCAGUUUUCCUAACGAGAGGUUUGAAAAAAUACUUCAGAAGGUUCGGCCUUUGCAAAAAUUGAGGACCUUGAUGUUGUUUGGGCGAAGCAGCAUAAAUUUAUUAGGGUCCUUACGUGAUUUAUGCAAGGAAGCAAAAUGUUUACGGUUUCUAAGAAUUUUUGUGACAGGUGCUGACAUCAGCUCUAUAAACAGGCUGUUAAAUCCAUGCCAUCUUCGCUAUCUUGAAUAUGUUUGUGUUGUCACCACAACCAUGUCGCUGUUUCCUCAAGCAUUGACAAGAUUUUAUCACCUUCAAGUAUUGAAUGUGGGUAUUUCAGGCAAUCUUGCUGUGCCUACUGACAUGCAUAAGCUUGUUAAUUUGCGCCAUCUUAUUUCUCAUGAGAAAGUGCAUCAUGCAAUAGCUUGUGUUGGCAACAUGACCUCUCUUCAGAAACUAAGAUUCAAGGUUCAAAAUGUUGGCAGUUUUGAGAUAAGGCAGCUUCAGUCGAUGAAUGAGCUUGUACUGCUUGAAAUUUCUCAACUUCAAAUUGUGAAGACUAAAGAAGAGGCUUGUGGGGCCAGGCUGUUAGACAAAGAGUAUCUAGAAAAGUUGUCCUUGUCAUGGGAGGAUAGCAGCAUGAGCCUUGAACCUGUAAUGGCAGAAGAUGUGCUUGAAGGUCUUCAACCACAUUCGAACCUCAAAACUCUAGAAAUAACUGGAUACAGUGGUGCUAUCCCUCCAACCUGGCUUUCCAGUACUUUCUCAGUUACCUCAUUGCAGAUACUUCAUCUAAGGAAUUGCAAGGAAUGGCGAAUUCUUCCAACUCUUGAAAUGCUUCCUUUCCUUAGGAAGCUGACAUUGAUCAGGAUGUUGAAUUUAAUGGAAAUCUCAGUUCCUUCCUUGGAAGAGUUGAUCUUGAUCAAUAUGCCAAAAUUGGAAAAAUGUAUUGGUUCCUACGGAAUGGAGUUGACUUCCCAUCUAAGGGUUUUGAUGAUCAUGAAAUGCCCUCAACUGAAUGAUAUCACUCUUUUCCAGAGUUACCCUUCUUUCGAUGCUGAGCAGAAGUCAUGGUUCCCAUCUCUCAGCAAACUCUACAUCAAGAAAUGCCCUCAUAUAAUCAAGUGGGCAAACCUUCCCCUAAGAGAAAUGGGGGCGCUCAAGGAGUUGGAGUUGGUGGACCUACAUGUUGUCAAAGAAUUGUCAGUUCCUUCCCUGGAGAAGUUGGUGUUGACUAAAAUGCCAAGCCUAGAAUUCUGCAGCAGUCUAACAACUUCUCCACCUCUGCAAUUUUUACCUUCCCAGGGAGAUAAAGAAAAUUGGACAUCUAAUCUCCAUAGACUCACCAUCCAUGAUUGCCCUUGUUUGAUAGUGUCACAUCCUCUUCCGCCUUCUGCUCUGAUUUCUGAGUUGUCCGUCAGGGGAGUUCCUACACUUCCAACAAUGAGUAUAAGCCAAAGACAGUUGAUUAUGGAAUCUAAUGAGUUGAGUGUGCUGGAUGACAGUAUCUUGGCAUUCGAUAACCUUAGGGGCAUAACAUUGUUUGAAAUAAGAAACUGUCCAAAUCUGGUCUCCAUUUCAAGUGAAGCUUUCAGCCAGCUCAUCGCUUUAGAGGAUUUAUGUAUAUACGACUGCCCUAAUCUGAGCAUGUCAAACAUUAUGUAAGAGGUUGUCCAGGAAAAUAGUAUGUCUACAAGCAGUCUUGUCCUUCCAUCUCUUUGGGUAGUAAACCAAGAGAGCAUGGUGAGCCUUACAGGGGAACAAGAGAGAGCAUUACAGCUUCUCCUCCAAGAACUUUGAUUUUGGUCAUGCCUGAGUCUCUUAUCACAUCCUGCAAACCCACAUAGCGUGACCUCCAAGGAGCGGUUAUCUAUCAUACAAUGUAAGAGCAUCAGAAGGCUGCCAGACAUGGGCCUCCCACCUCUCAGUUUCUGUUGAUUAGUCAGUUGCAGCAAGAAGCUAGGUGUGCAAUGCAAAAUUGCGGCAACAGAAAGCUACAGGUCACUAUUGAUGUCGAGACUGAGUUAAUCAAUAGUGGCUUCUUAGCCAUCAGAGACGCACAUGUUGCUGCACUUGCCAUCACUAGCACAUUCAUGCCAGUGCGGCAUACCCCUUUUGGUUUUCCACAAGCUACUCAUGGAUGGACACAGAACCAUGGGUUGAAAGUGACAAUCUCGUUUUUGUUAUGAGGGGCAUUGUGACCUUUCCCUCAUUCUUGUGUCUUCUCUGGUCAGUUCCUGGCAGUAAGGUAUGCUAUCGCAAGUUGACUGUCCGGCAUGAGAUAUGACUUCAAAUUGUAGAAGAAAUAUAAAGGUCUACUAGUUACUCUACCACCCGUCCCCUGAUGCAGUUCUGCUGUGAAAAAGGAUGUUUCUGUUUGGCAGUCAUCAUGUUAUAUGACGGCACUUGGAAUCUGCGGUCAACAAGCCUACCUGAUUAGGGAUGAGAUGAGUGCACAUCUUGCUGGAUGCCAGACGACACCAUUUCAGGUGUGGACUGACAAGCGGGCCAUGUCCAUGAAAACUGAAGACGGUACAGCAACCAGUCGGUGACGAUCUCUGGUCUGGUGAAAAUUGGAGGUUGAAGUCGGGGGAUGGGAAGCAGCAGCGGGGGCAACUCGGAUGGACCAUGGAUUGUUAUACUAACUGCAGCCUACCAAAUAUGUUGGAACUCUGAACUCUAUGGAGCUCCAUGGCGUCAGCCACUGAUUCAAGAGAAAAAAUACUGAAGAGAUCACAUGGCGAGUGAUCACACGUAAACGUAAACACAUGAACCAUAUGCGGACACAAUUUCUUCACGAAGGCACCGCAAAGGUUGCUGCCUGGUGCCGCUUUUGCUUGGCGUGAAUACAGAGAAGCAGAGUCAUGCGACACAUAGGAAGUCAAUCAUCAACGGCUUUGCGAGUCUGAACAGACACGCCAUGAUCAAUUUGAAGUAUUGUAUCCAAGUUUUGUCGGAAACAAAAAUGAACUAUUUGAAGCAUUGUAUUGGCACGCCAUGAUCAA